rnacentral:tRNA from 1 species
AUUUAAAUAGUUUAAUUAAAAUAUUGAUUUGUGGUGUCAAUGAUAUGGAUAUCGUUCAUUUUAGAUC